rnacentral:misc_RNA from 1 species
GAUGAAGAACGUAGCGAAAUGCGAUAAGUAAUGUGAAUUGCAGAAUUCAGUGAAUCAUCGAAUCUUUGAACGCACAUUGCGCCCGUCAGUAUUCUGGCGGGCAUGCCUGUUCGAGCGUCAUUACGCCCCUCAAGUCCCCUGUGGACUUGGUGUUGGGGAUCGGCGAGGCUGGUUUUCCAGCACAGCCGUCCCUUAAAUUAAUUGGCGGUCUCGCCGUGGCCCUCCUCUGCGCAGUAGUAAAACACUCGCAACAGGAGCCCGGCGCGGUCCACUGCCGUAAAACCCCCCCCCAACUUUUUAUAGUUGACCUCGAAUCAGGUAGGACUACCCGCUGAACUUAAGCAUAUCAAUAAGCGGAGGA